rnacentral:rRNA from 1 species
CCCUUAGAUGCUCUGGGCCGCACGCGCGCUACACUGGUCGAUGCAACGAGUUUCUUUCCUUGGCCGACAGGCCUGGGCAAUCUUUGAACAUCGAUCGUGAUCGGGAUAGAUUCUUGUAAUUUUUGAUCUUAAACGAGGAAUUCCUAGUAAACGCAAGUCAUCAGCUUGCAUUGAUUACGUCCCUGCCCUUUGUACACACCGCCCGUCGCACCUCCCGAUUGAAUGGUCCGGUGAAAUCUCCGGACUGGCGUGAGUCGGAGCAAUCUGACAAACGCCGGAAAGUUGAUUAAACCUUACCAUUUAGAGGAAGGUGAAGUCGUAACA